CCUUUGGGCUCCAAAUAUUUACUUUUUUUAUUUAUUUUUUAUUAAACUCAUUUUUGUUCAUCAGUCUCCCUCUCCCUGUAAGAAAACUCAAAUACAGAUCUCCGACGAUGAACUGAGGCGCGGUGGUCGGCGAUCUCAACUCCGCCGCUUUUUCUUCCGAUUACAGAGGCUGUUAGGGAAGAAAGUUGUAUUUAUUCCCAGCACGGAUAAGCAUGGGGAGAAAAUUGCUACUGCUGCAGCAGUCCGGGGUUCCGACCCAAGUGAACAUUGCGAUGUUAAUUUAACAAGAAUAUAAGACACUCUGGAAAGAUGUAAUAUUAACCCAAGAUACUAAUGCACUCUCAAUUUACUUUAGCCUGACUUGUUGAAUGUUCCAAUUGUUGUGCAUAUUUUCCAAAUUUUAAUGAUCCCCUUUGUUUUAUUGUUUACGUUCUGCCUGCAGUUAGACAUAUCUUAUGAUAAGUUCAUUCGGACUAUUGAUCUGUCAGAUCCCAAGCAUGAAUCAAUUGUGAAGGAAUUUUACUCAAGUGUUCUUGCCAAUGGUGAUACCUGUAUAUAUAUGAAGGAAUUUAUUGUGUCUGCUGUGAGGAGUAUCAGGAUGAGAAAGAAUUGCUUGAUAACAACUGUUGCCCUAUGCAACUGAAGUCAUGUGUUGUGUGGAAAGAGGAUAAUUACUACUUUGCACUAUCAAAAAAUAAAAAACUCUUGGAAGAAACUUUUGACACAAAAUCCAAAUUUUUUUCAGCCUUCUUUCCUGUUAAAUGAGGUGUAAAGCUGGAUCAAAAGUGGCUUAAGAGAUUUUUUUCAGUUUCCCAAGCAUCAGUGUAUUGGGGCAUCCCAGUUCCUAAUGACAAUAAGCAAACCAUAUAUGUGUGGCUUGAUGCAUUACUAGGAUAGGUAUCAGCACUAUCAGAGUACACAGGGCGAGCUAAUCUACAAAGUGCUGUUUCUUCAGCAAAUGUGGAAUGACAUAAACAUUGGUGAGAGUGAAGCAGACAAAGACCACACGCUGUUGGAAUUGGAGAGGCAAUGCUUAGAAGUCUACAGACCAAGGGUUGAGGAGGCUGCCAAUGCCAAGGCACGCCUCCAUUGUCUGUUGCAGCCAAAGAAGCUGAACUUGCCACUCUCAUGGCUGAACGCCUCCAUCAGGAUUUUGGAUUAUUGUGGACUUGGUGAAAUUUGGUAUUUUGUUAUUUUGCUUGGAAGUUUUAGUUUAUCAUGUUAGGAUUUUGGAACUAUUGCGGACUUGGUAAUAUACUAAUUUGUGGUCUUUUGAUGUAUGUGUGGUUGUGGAACACAUUGAAAGAGACUUGGAGCAUUUUAUAUAAUAUUGAGUUUUGAGAUGGUUUAGACUU